CUUGAUGGAAAGAAAAUACGGGUGGAUUAUGCAAACAGCGAACAAUCUGCUGCUGCUGCUGCUGCAGAUGAGUAAGGUGCCUAUCUGGAAUCUGUAAUUGUUUCACUGUAAGGCACAUGUACUCUGUAUAUUUACGUAAUCACCAGUAUAUAUUUUAAGUUCAGUCCUAUGACCAACUUCAAAUAGACCGGCCGUCUGAUUUGUUUAGCUUUACAUUGCCUGUAGCAUUGUGAUUAUUGAUAACUUAAAAUACAGAAGAACGUCUGACAGCUAAUUCUCUUAUACUAAGUCACGGAAUUCAUUCAUCGACCUUAUUUUUUAUUUGAGGUCAACAUUAGCCAUGGUCUAGGAAACAAUUUAUGCCCGGCUUUUAAAAACUUGAGUAUGGCAUCAAGUCUCAGGAAAAGUAUUGGGUUAGAAAAUCAAUUUUAUUGCAUGUUACAGUGUCGGGUUUACAUGGGAAAUGAAGUGUUUGUUGUGCCCAGAAUCUGUAAUGUCGAUGGAGCCCUGGACAUGCAUGCACUCUGUACAUUUGAAUGAUCAUCGGUACUUAUUUUAUUUUCAUUCCCAUACCAGCUUUACGGGUAGACUAGUCCUCUGAUCGUUUAACUUGGCACUGGCUGUAGCAUUCUGCCUAUUGCUAACUGAAAAGAACAGAGCAACACCUAAUCGGUGGUGAAUUCUCUUUCACCAAGAGACAUAAUUAAUUCCAUUGCUUUUGUUUUAGGUCAACAUUAACGCUAGUUUUGGAAACAAUUCAUGCCCCUGAUCUUAAAACCUGAGAACUUGCUUUCGCUUCUGUUAUAAUGCAGAAAUAUCAUCCAGAAGUGUAUAAUGUUGCAGCAAAGCUUGGCAUAUCGUAACUAUCGGGUGUGGGAAGGAGUUUGUAAAUUGGAGAUAUUUUUUUGUGUGGCAAUUUUACUUAAAGGACACUUGUAAAUUUGAGCUUAGUUUGGUAAAUUUGACCAAAACAUGAGAGUUCCAUUUCUUCAAACGCACAUGAUUCAGCAUGAAGCAUCUCAUAUUUAGAUCAAUGAGCCAAACAUAUAACACAAGGGAACUGGAAAAGGAGUUCCUGAUUUAUCUGCACUACUUCUUUCAAAGCUUUAGAAUUUAUAUGAGCUGUAACUCAACGAGUGUAGGUAUAACACAGGACUAGUUCACACACCCAAGGAAAGGACAAGCCGCCAGACAGUCAUUUAUCAAGCUGCAUCCGAAUUUUCUAGGCCCUUUACAAUGUAAGUAGCAUAAGGAUUCCUGUAGAAUAAUGAUGCCAUAUCUGCACCACUGCAUAUACUUAGAAUCGUUGAGAACCAAAACUAUCAUGGAAUGCUGACGCCGAGUGCCCUCAUUAGUGGCACUUUUACUUUUGGCAGGCAGUCACCUCCUUAUGCUGAUUCUUGUCUGAUUUCCUCCAUUAAAGAAAAAAAAUCACUAAACCUGAGAUCGUAGCACUCUCCACAACACAUGCUAAUUGGUCAGAAUUCCGAAUUAAUUACUGCUUGCAAAGAGCUAGACUUAAAAGGUAGUAUCUAACUAUCUAUUUAAAUUUUUAUACCGUAGUUAUUUUUCCUCCAAAUGUCUGAAUCCAUAUCCGAAUUCAGAAGUCAUUCAGCCAAAAAAGAUGUACUCCCUCCGUCCUCAGAUAUGGGCAAUGAAAGCUGUAGCCCCUCAUAAUUUAUUCUGCGCGAAUGUUAUUAAGUGGAAUAAAGACGUUGACAAUAGGACACGAUGCUUGACUAAUCUCAGCUAUUCACUGAAAUGCAUGUAUGUUAUGUUAUACACCUCUUCCUGCUCAAAAUAACAUAGCCGCAGAACCUUUUCUUCAUUCUGAACAAACUGCAACUACACCUGAGUGGCUGAGUUGGAAGCUAACAUGAUCCAUCAAUUCUUCCCCGAUCAGGUCUUCUCCUAAGCAUGAGACCUUUAUCCGAGGGACACAUACUGGGCUCCAUUUGGCAUAAGCAUUGUUUCGCAAAGGGAACCAUGAACCAUCUGUAGUUGCCCCCAAAG
rnacentral:lncRNA from 1 species